rnacentral:rRNA from 1 species
UACAGAGGGGGGCAAGCGUUAUUCGGAAUUAUUGGGCGUAAAGGGCGCGUAGGCGGCCUGGCAAGUGGAAGGUGAAAUCCCUCGGCUUAACCGAGGAACUGCCUCCCAAACUGCUUGGCUUGAGACCGGGAGAGGUGAGUGGAAUUCCCAGUGUAGCGGUGAAAUGCGUAGAUAUUGGGAGGAACACCAGUGGCGAAGGCGGCUCACUGGACCGGUACUGACGCUGAUGCGCGAAAGCGUGGGGAGCAAACGGG